CCAGGAGAUACCACAAGUUUUUUCCCAUUGGACAUUUCGGAGACGGAAGGAGGUCAACCUAGGAGUCCAGGGCAUGAAAUAAUAGACUCUAGACAUUUAGAGUCUCAGAAAUAGAUGGUCUUGUUAAUAAUUAAAUAAAGAAAUCAUAAAAUAAUAGAAUACAUUGUAGUAGAACUUAGUGGUUAAAGAAUCAGUCUUGCAUAGAGCCUGCCUCUUUACUUAGUAGCUGGAUAACUGACGUCAAGUUACUUAACUUCUCUGAGCCUAUUUCCUCAUUCGUUAGUGGGGCAUACUGUUAGGUGUAAUAUAGUUACUUAACCUCUCUGAGCCUAUUUCCUCAUUCAUUAGUGGGGCAUACUGUUAGGUGUAAUAUAAUAUGUCUUUGGACUAUUGUGACAUAUGAGUCAGCACAUUUAAAAGAGCUGGUGCAAGAGACUAAAUGUGUGUGUCCUCCCAAAAUGUAUAUGUUGAAAUCUAAUCUGCAGUGUGAUGGUAUCUGGAGCUGAGGACUUUGGGAGAUAAUUAGGUCAUGAACUUGAAGCCUUCGUGAAUGGGAUUAGUGACCUUAUAAAAAAGACUUCAGAGGGUUCUCUUGCCCCUUCUAUGGCAUGAUGAUGCAGUAAGAUGCUGUCUAUGAACCGGGAAGCAGACCCUCACCAGAUGCUGAACGUGCUGGCACCGUGGACUUCUCAGCCUCCAGAAAUCUGAAUGAAUUCCUGAGACCGUGUGUAGGAAGGUGCAAAGAGACAAAUAAGUCAUCUGAUUAUUUCAUCCCCACUCCCCAGAGGCAUGGACUCCGAACAGUUUCUUGGCUGCCUUCCAGAAUUUUCUAUGUUAAUAACAUAAAUAUAAGUUAUACAUAGGAAAUCUCUCUCUCUCUCUCUCUCACACACACACACACACAAACACACACACGCACACACACAUAAUGGCAGCUUGGUGGUUGGGAGCCUGAUGGAGGCAGCUGAUACAGUAUAGCAUAGUAUAUGGACAGCCUGAUUAGUGGCCCCACCACUUACUAGCUACAUUAUCUUGAACAAGUUGCUUAGCCUCUGUGUUUCAAUUUCCUCAUCAGUAAAAUGGGGAUGAUAAGCCUGCCACACAGGUUUCUUC
rnacentral:lncRNA from 10 species